AAUAAUUAAAAUUAAAUUAAUAAUUAAUGUACAAAUAAUUGGUUAGUUAUACUAGAAUCUAAUACUCAGUAAAUAUUGGGUUGUUAAAAAGUUAAGAACUCAGAUUAUGGGUUGUUUAUAACGUUUAAAUAUUAUAUCUAUUGUAUUUAUACAAGUGUUAACAAACGAAAAAUUGAAAUACGUGUAUGAAUUUUAGUAGACGACACACGAAUAAAUUAAGAAUAAUUAGGUAAAUAACAUAAAAGAAUAGAACCUACAACGCUUUUAUCUAAACAUUAUGUACUGUAUUUGAAAUAUUCAACAACAUGAAUGAUCUAAUUUUAACAAAUAAUGAAGCAAAAUUCAAUUAAUAUUAAUUUCCAAUUUUUUUGAAAGUAUUUUAAUAAACAAAUAUUCAGUUAGUUUUAGUUCUUUAAGGUGGAAAAUUCUGAAAGAAAAUGGCCAUGAAAAGGGCCAUUGAUUUUCAUCUUAAUGAACCAACUCAACAAAAAAAGACUAACUUGUUUCAAGCAAUAAAAGAUGAGGCAAAUGGAGAUUCUGUUUCUGAUGAUGAAUCAGUUGAUGCUGCUACUGAUGUCUUUCCACUUGGGCAUUAUAUUGAUAAUCCUGAGGAAUUAAUUAAGCAAAUGUUUUCAGUAAUACGUGGUAAAAGACUUGCUCGCUUAAUACCCCCAGAGCUUAAGGAUUUAACAUUUGAAGAAUUAAAAACUGAUUGUCUUAUACAAUUAUUGGGUAUGUCAAAAAAGCGAGUUUUAGGAGUAUUAAAAGGAAAGGAAUUGGACUCGUCAUCUGACUCUGAUGAUUCACUUAUUUUCGAAAAAAAAAAAAUGAAUGAAACUAAUAAAAAAUCACAUAAAAGGAAAAAAAACAAGAUUAAGAAACCUAAAGUUAGAUUAAAUUCCGAUUCUGAAUCAGAAAAAACAAGUUUAAAAGAAGGAAACACUCUAUUAGAAAUAUUACAGUUGGAAAUGAGAGCAAAGGCGAUUCGUGAAUUGUUAGAACCUGAAAAAAAUUCUGAUGAUUCCAUUAACUUUGAAAAUGUAAGAAAUAAAACUAUUGCAGAAGACAAAAAAAGUGAAGAAGUAAAGGAAACAAAAAGUUGGAGUGAACGAUAUGAAGAAAGGGAGGAUGUUAAAGAGGUUGUUAAAACAAGCAAAUUGUGCACAAGUAUAAGGAAGCGAAUGCUAUUACAUCAACAAAAGUUGUUAGCAGAAAAAGCAAAGUUAAAAGCUGAAGAAUUGGAACAUGUCAAUUUUGGUGAUGCUAUUAAAGCAAAGUCAGAUGAAAAGCUUCAGAAAUUACUUUCUAGUAUUGGUGAUGAAAAUUUAAAGCUUGGUAAACAAAAUUUAAAACCUAUUGAUAUUACAACAAUGGAUAAAAACCAAGAGCUUUUGGAAAUAAAACUUCCAGAUGAGCUUCCAGAUAUCAAUAAUAUAAAACAUUAACUUUUGCUGAAAAAAAUGUCAAGUUUAUAAAAGUACACAUUUAAAAGUUUUUACUAUGCGACUGUACUUAAAAUAAAAAUCAGUAAAUUUGAAAAGGACAAAGCAUGAAUUUUGGAAGAUAAUAAAAAUAUAGAGGCUUGCAUGGUAGCCAACCAGCCCAAACCAUAGAACGAAAUGCUAGUCCUUGAAGUUUGGCUAGAACUAGAACUAGUUGUAGCACGAUAAAUUUACCUUGGACAUUAUGAUCUUUGAGCAUUUCACCUAAUACACGCAAAGUCAUCG